GGUGUCGAUGGUAGGAGAGCGUUCUAAGGGCGUUGAAGUCAGACCGGAAGGACUGGUGGAGCGCUUAGAAGUGAGAAUGCCGGUAUGAGUAGCGAAAGAAGGGUGAGAAUCCCUUCCACCGAAUGCCUAAGGUUUCCUGAGGAAGGCUCGUCCGCUCAGGGUUAGUCGGGACCUAAGCCGAGGCCGAAAGGCGUAGGCGAUGGACAACAGGUUGAUAUUCCUGUACCACCUAUACAUCGUUUGAACGAUGGGGGGACGCAGAAGGAUAGGGUAAGCGCGCUGUUGGAUAUGCGCGUCCAAGCAGUUAGGCCGGAAACGAGGCAAAUCCCGUUUCCAUUAAGGCGGAGCUGUGAUGGCGAGGGAAAUAUAGUACCGAAGUUCCUGAUUCCACGCUGCCAAGAAAAGCCUCUAGUGAGAUGUAAGGUGCCCGUACCGCAAACCGACACAGGUAGGCGAGGAGAGAAUCCUAAGGUGUGCGAGAGAACUCUCGUUAAGGAACUCGGCAAAAUGACCCCGUAACUUCGGGAGAAGGGGUGCUUUUUAGGGUGAAUAGCCCAGAAAAGCCGCAGUGAAUAGGCCCAGGCGACUGUUUAGCAAAAACACAGGUCUCUGCGAAGCCGCAAGGCGAAGUAUAGGGGCUGACACCUGCCCGGUGCUGGAAGGUUAAGGGGAGAGGUUAGCGCAAGCGAAGCUUUGAACCGAAGCCCCAGUAAACGGCGGCCGUAACUAUAACGGUCCUAAGGUAGCGAAAUUCCUUGUCGGGUAAGUUCCGACCCGCACGAAAGGUGUAACGAUCUGGGCACUGUCUCAACGAGAGACUCGGUGAAAUUAUAGUACCUGUGAAGAUGCAGGUUACCCGCGACAGGACGGAAAGACCCCGUGGAGCUUUACUGCAGCCUGAUAUUGAAUUUUGGUACAGCUUGUACAGGAUAGGUAGGAGCCUGAGAAGCCGGAGCGCCAGCUUCGGUGGAGGCGUUGGUGGGAUACUACCCUGGCUGUAUUGAAAUUCUAACCCGCGCCCCUUAUCGGGGUGGGAGACAGUGUCAGGUGGGCAGUUUGACUGGGGCGGUCGCCUCCUAAAGAGUAACGGAGGCGCCCAAAGGUUCCCUCAGAAUGGUUGGAAAUCAUUCGUAGAGUGUAAAGGCACAAGGGAGCUUGACUGCGAGACCUACAAGUCGAGCAGGGACGAAAGUCGGGCUUAGUGAUCCGGUGGUUCCGCAUGGAAGGGCCAUCGCUCAACGGAUAAAAGCUACCCCGGGGAUAACAGGCUUAUCUCCCCCAAGAGUCCACAUCGACGGGGAGGUUUGGCACCUCGAUGUCGGCUCAUCGCAUCCUGGGGCUGUAGUCGGUCCCAAGGGUUGGGCUGUUCGCCCAUUAAAGCGGUACGCGAGCUGGGUUCAGAACGUCGUGAGACAGUUCGGUCCCUAUCCGUCGCGGGCGCAGGAAAUUUGAGAGGAGCUGUCCUUAGUACGAGAGGACCGGGAUGGACGCACCGCUGGUGUACCAGUUGUCUUGCCAAAGGCAUAGCUGGGUAGCUACGUGCGGACGGGAUAAGUGCUGAAAGCAUCUAAGCAUGAAGCCCCCCUCAAGAUGAGAUUUCCCAUGGCGCAAGCUAGUAAGAUCCCUGAAAGAUGAUCAGGUUGAUAGGUCAGAGGUGGAAGCAUGGUGACAUGUGGAGCUGACUGAUACUAAUAGAUCGAGGACUUAACCAA
rnacentral:rRNA from 2 species